UCGUAGGUGAACCUGCGGAAGGAUCAUUA
rnacentral:ncRNA from 13 species